CGCGCUGCCAAAUUUGGUCACCUAGCGCGUUUAGUAGCGACCGGUAAAGUGUCAAGUAAUGAUACUGGGCUGGCAAACGGCUUAUACUCACCACCGGUAGUCGUAAUCUUAUACUACAAAAGUUCAAUGUAUAUAAUGGACGCAGUGGUUCAUCCCGAACAAAAAAUAAAUAAAAAAAAUAAUCGUCAUAAUACCUGAUGACAUACCUGGUAACAUGUAUCCUUGUUCCUUUACAGAAAUGAAGCUUAUGAUGAAAUACUGAUGCUUGGCCAAUCUCACCAACGGGAUAUAAUAAGAACUGAUGCAGGUUUAUAACAUGUAUUGUCUAUCCGGAACAAAGUUAGUACGCUUUUUAUAUCGAAGUUCGAUUUUUCUCCAGAUAUAGGCAACUUACCCAACUUCGAAAGUAGUGCGCUGGAUUCGCCUGAAGAUGCGCUAAACAACACAUCAAUUAGUUUGACAGAUAAAACUUUGGAAGAAAGUUCGGUUCGGAAGUCCCGACAGCAAAGAGAGGUAAAAUGAGUUAAAAUGAAGUUUAAACUGCUUUAAACUUAAAUUGAAAAUAAAAUAAUUUG